rnacentral:rRNA from 1 species
AUGGGUGUCCAAGAAAUCCGCGAUGUUGUGUCAUCCCUGUUCAUCAUGCUAAACAAAGAGACAUACAUCCUGUUUCGGAUUGAGUUUCUUGUGGUCCUGGUCACAGUCAUGUUCCUUGUCAUGUUCAUCGUGGACAUCUUUCGUCGCCACAUCCGCAACACAGCAGUGACAGUCUUCUUCAACAUCUUGGGUACGGUCUCUGACUCUAUUGUCUUCUACCUGCUGGGGGCCAUGACAAAAGCAAGCUUCACAAAUCAGUUGUUCCCUGUCUGGGCCCUCGUGCUUGUUAGUAUCCGUUACAACAUUGACUUCAUCUCUGGCUAUGGUGUUUAUGACCGCCAUGGGCGACGGUUCAGGGAGUGGAGUAACGUGGUGAAACUUCUGGGAACAGCCUUCUUGAUGAUCGGAGGCUCAAGGUUCACACUUCCACUUUGGUCGCUUUUGGCUCUGCUGAUGCUGAGGAGCUGGUACAGAUUGAAAGCAUAUAGUUUGGCGCUCCGUUCUGUCUGGCAUGGCAAGAGUUCAGAGGUGGUCACAGAGUACAUGCGUGCAGGCCCUCAUAGUAGCAACUGGAAACCAAAUGAGUGCAGUCCAGAGAAUGAUCUGGAAGGAUACAAAUACUUGGUACAUGGAGAAACCCGUCGGAGAAUAAAAUUCAAGAAGCCUCGCUAUGUCUUGGACAUCGAUACUGCAGCUGGGCGUGAUUUUUCGUCAGUGAUCACCCUAGACAUGAUUUGGGGAUGUCGUAGGCACCAGUUACUCCCAGAAAACAAUAAGGGAAAUGAUCCAAAGGAUCUCUCUUUGGCCUUCGCCUUGUCCAGACUGCUCCGGUGCAGGCUCGAGGAUGUAACACUGCAACAAGAAAUCUUCUGCAUUAACCGAAAGCUAGUGAAGACUAAGAUUCUUGACGACCAGAAUGCUGAUCGUGCCUUCAAAAUCAUGGAGUUGCAACUAUCCUUCAUAAAUGAGUACUUCAACAGCCGUUACCCUAUGGUCUUUUGGGAAGGGUUCAAUUCUCUCUUCUCAAAUCUGCUUCUCUCUGUGGUGAAUUUGGCUCUUGUCUGCUGGCUUGUUGUGGACAUCUGCAAAAACUAUAACAAUGAUCCCCCGCAAAAUCACCAGUACAAUCCCCCGAAGAAUCACAGGGCUAAUGUGGUGCAUGGGUUCAACGUUGACAUGUUCAUCACAUUUGUAUUCAUUUUCUUUAUGGUGUUCAAAGAGAUCUGGGAGAUGGUCAGCUAUAUAAUCUCAGACUGGACAAGGUUACUCCUUGUGUGCAGCUAUGCACGGCUUAAGGAAGAGCCCACUAGAAAUAGAUGUAUGGAGAGAACAAUGUCAUCCCUUUUCAGAUCUAGGGUAACUACUAAGCAGUGGCAUGGACUUAUUGACCAGUAUGUCUUCUUAGAGUCAUAUGAUGAUAGACCAAGAUUUUGGAAUCUGCUUCACAAGAUAACCACAGGAAUGGCACCAAAGAAGGAUGAUGGAGCAACACUCCGUGAUGCCAUCGAUGUGCCGGAAUGUGUCAGGCCUACAAUACUGAAGAAGCUCUGUGCAAGCCUAGAGAAGCCCAACUCUCCUGACACCGUACAUUAUCAGCCAGACAGUCCUAACAUAAAUCAUGAGGAGCCCAUCAUUUGGGGUAGUCGUUUUCUACCCAAGGUCAUCACAUCACUGCCCGAAGCUGUUGGAAACCGAAGGGAGAAGUAUGAUUGGGCCUGCUAUGGCCUGCCCACGUGCUCUCAUGUAAUUCUGGUGUGGCACAUUGCAACAAGCCUCUGUGAGAUGAAGCUUGCUCGGGCACAUGGCGUCGAUUUAAGCAAACAUGGGUUCCUGGUAUCCCUCUUGUCGUACAUGACAAGUUUCUGCUCAUCAAAACCAUAUCUUGUGGAUGUGGACGAGAAGACGAAAGAAAAGAAGAAAGUGAAUGAGAAGUUGCCCGAUAAGAUCCAGGAAAUGUAUAUCACUGCCAAUAGCUUGUCUCGGUACUGUGCAUAUCUGCUAGUUUCAAAGCCCGACCUGAUCCCUGAUAGCUUCUAUGUUCCCAAAAUGGUCUUCCAAGAAACUGUAACACAAGCUCGUGAUGGUAUUCUUAAGGACUGUGACUCAUUACAGAAUAGGUAUGAAAAACUGUUGCAAGUAGGAGUCGAGGCCAUCCAAGAUGCUAACAACAUCAUGAAGGAUGAUGUCGUACGACAAGGUGCAAAGCUGGGAAAGUUACUGAUUGAUCAAGAGAGUGAAGAAGGCUGCUGGGAGAUCCUGUCUGGGGUAUGGGCAGAGUUACUAGUGCACAUUGCCCCCACUUGGAACGCAGAGGCGCACAAGGAGUGCCUCGAGUCAGGCGGGGAAUUCAUAACCUAUAUCUGGGCAUUGCUAUGGCAUUGUGGAAUCGAGAAGAGCAAAUUAUGGCCUGAGGAAGAUUUGCAUGAAAAUGGUGCCCCUGGAACACCACCUCAGGAUAGCAGUGUUCAAACUAAUAGCACUCAGCAUGCACAACAGACUUGUGCAGCAGGACCAAAGAAAGAAAGAGAGGAAGCUGUCAUACAGAGAUCAGAGAUACAGCAAGUUGAUGCAGAGGAGAGGAAUGGGUGGACCGAAACGCCAAGCGCAGAUACGGCUGAUCAUCAGAAUGGGCAAGGUGGCAGUAUGGGGGUUAGAGGGAUGCGGAAUGGCGGGAACACAUGUUACUUCAAUGCAGUGCUGCAGAGUCUCCUUGCACUUGAUAAGCUGCGUGCAAGGAUGUUAGGAUCGGAUGCUCUAAAAGGGAACCUGGGCCAGGAACUGCAGAAGCUUUUCAUAAUGACAACAAAUACCAAUGACGCAAACGGUAUGUUGAAGCCAGAGAAGCUCUUCUUACAUAUGUGCUUAAGGAAUUCAGAUUUCAAAUCUGGCGUGAUGGAAGACAGCAAUAACAUGCUUGGUUCCUUGCUAGAUGGUUUGAACAAUGAGGAACCUACAAUGGUUGAGUCACUUUUCCGUGGCCAGAUUGUUAAACUUGUCUCCAGCAAAGAGUGUGAUCACACAUCAGUUACCACGGAGAAUCUUGAUCUCAGUCUGGCAAUACCAUCAAAAAAGACCACAUCACUCGAGGACUGCUUGGAUUUAUAUGCCACUGGGGUGAUCGAGGAUUGGCACUGUAUCGGCUGUUCAGCUGCUGGUGCUGGUGGUCGUGAUGGUGGAAAUGGCUCUUUGAAACAAGAUGAUACAACAACCAGUGAUGGCCAACCUGAACAGUCGGAGAAUAAACCAUACGGGAAGGAGGAAUCUAGCCAUAUAGCUGACAGAGAAGCAAGAAUAACAAAUCAGAACAAUGGAAAGCUACCUGUGUUUAAUGGCAAUGCAAAUCAAAUAGAACAAAGUCAUAGAAAACACAAGGACGAAGAGAAGAUAUGCAGAGUUGCAAUAGUACAAUAUCGCAUUAGCAAGGCGGCACCUUUAUUAACCAUUCAACUCAAGAGAUUCGACUAUUCACACCCUGAUAGGCCAGACAAGCUUGAAGAACAUGUGCGCUUUCAGGAUACACUAGAUAUAACAAAGUUCAUGGACCCUGGGCAUCAGGCGGACGACGGGUACAAAUACCGUCUAGUUGCUGUCAUUGUACACAGUGGACCAACCCUGCAUGAAGGACACAAUUUUGCUUAUGUGAGAGCAAGCCAGAUUGCAUGCCAGCAGCAGGAGAGCCGUGGCACUCCCACAUGGUUCCGUGCAAGCGAUGAGAGCAUCACAGAAGUAUCAUUGGAAGAGGUGCUGGAGUGUCAGGCAUACAUUCUUUUCUACGAAAGAGUUGAACAGGCAAAGGACAUGUCAGUUCUAGAAGAGCAUCUGCCGACCGACCACUGA